rnacentral:rRNA from 1 species
GACGUAGGGACCAAGCGUUGUUCGGAUUUACUGGGCGUAAAGGGCGCGUAGGCGGCGUGACAAGUCACUUGUGAAAUCUCUGAGCUUAACUCAGAACGGCCAAGUGAAACUGUUGUGCUAGAGUGCAGAAGGGGCAAUCGGAAUUCUUGGUGUAGCGGUGAAAUGCGUAGAUAUCAAGAGGAACACCUGAGGUGAAGACGGGUUGCUGGGCUGACACUGACGCUGAGGCGCGAAAGCCAGGGGAGCAAACGGG